CAAAUACUCCCUCCGUCCGGAAAUACUUGUCAUCAAAAUGGAUAAAAGGGAAUGUAUCUAGACGUAUUUUAGUUUUACAUACAUCUCUUUUUAUCCAUUUUGAUGACAAGUAUUUUCGGACGGAGGGAGUAUUUA
rfam:Triticum aestivum genome assembly, contig: Triticum_aestivum_CS42_TGACv1_scaffold_605712_7DL